rnacentral:lncRNA from 1 species
AAUAUUAUUUUAAUCAAUAUAUAAAUUUUGGAAGUUUCACGUAUAUAAGACCGGUUUAUAAUAUAUACUAGGGUGCAAGUCUCAUCUUAAAAGCUAGUCUGAUUGGAGUUGAGUUAGUUUUAAGGAUUCUUUUGAGAAAAAACCUUUUCGUUGUGUGUGGUUGCAUGUAGAGGUUGUUUGUUUUCCUCUUUUAGAAGGUGUCUUUAUCUGAGAAUCUUAGAUUUUUAAAGUUUCUUUAUCUUGUUCAUCAAUGGCUUUUUUUUUUGUCUCUUCUAACCCCCUUCUGUCACUCUUGUGUUUGACUCGUCUAUUAUGCAUUUGCUCUUAUAGUAAAGAUGACUUUUAUUAGUUUAUUUAUAGUCAUUAUGGCUCUUCAAGAAUAACUUAUUUAUCCACUGUAUGUCAAUAAUGCAUUCCUCAACCGCGAUUUACAAGAAGAAAUUUAUAUGAAACAACCUCCUAAAUUUUUAAAGUGCCUUGAUUGGAGAAUCUUGGAUUUUUAAGGUUUCUCUCUCAUGAUCAUCAAUGACUUCUUUUGUUGUUGUCUCUUCUAACCUCCCUUUUGUCACUAUUGUGUUUGAC